rnacentral:lncRNA from 1 species
CGUUUUCACCUCCAUUGGCCAGAUUUCAUAAAAUUUUGCAACAGCUGCAAAUGUGUUCUUUCAUAGGUAUUGUUAACCUUCCGUGCACAUUUCCUCCAAAGUUUACACUGCACAGUUCAUACAUAGGAAUGCACUCAAGUGCAUUGUGUCCAGGAAUAAAGUUCAAAAACAAAAGUUGAAACAGGGAGCUGAAAUAAUUGGUCAUGACUAUACAGUUCUUCUUGUAUUUCAUUCAACGGGGGGGUUUGUGAACUCAACCUGUAACCCUUCGGAUUACCCUCCCAGUGACAGCGGCAGGAUCAGAGAGGAGCUUUUCAGAGCUCAAGUUGAUUAUAACUUCGGAAAUACAGCAUUAAAAUCCAGUGAAAAACUUUCACAUCCAGGAGAGAGUGAAUAUGGUGUAUGACAGAUUACGCACAAGAGAGCCCAUUUUCAGCUGGAAAGAGGUGGUUUAUAGGAAAUAUUAAAGUAAAAACAGUCAAAAACACUGGACUUCACAAGACCCUACAGAAGACCCUGUGACUAGUUACUGAUGAAUUAUAAAAACUGAUCCGUUGAAAGUCACUAACACUGUAGAUCAGCAAAGAACUUCACAGGAAAGAACAUGCUGAGCUGCAGGGGAUCUGGCAGAAGACCAGUUUCAGGAGGUAAAUCUCUGCCAGCCCUCAGUUCCUGUGUGUCCCAGAUGAGACCCCAGCACAUAGACCUUCCAUGCAACAUUUUCUUUUCUGUAAACAGCGUGGCAAAAAAGGCUGAUUAAUGCACAUUUUCAGUGCUCAGCAGUGUCUCAUGAGAAGGCUUUAACCUUGUGAAGAUUUUUUUUUCACAAUGCCAGAAUGUUUUUUCUUUUUCCCAUUGUGCUUCUGUACUCUGUGAAAACAGACACUCUGAAAACAGAAAAAAAAACACACCAGGAAACAUAAGGCACCAGAUUUUUUUUUUCACAAGAAUCCAGUCACAGAAGAUAAGUAAAAUGUAUAAAGUAAAAGUGGUGACUGUGUAUUAAGCAUACAAAAUCGGCAUAUCCCCAUUUUUGCCCCCAUCAUAUAUUCUCUGUCUGCAAUUUGUUCUUAACUUUAAACAUUCAUCUUGGCUACAUACAAGAACAAACCCAUACUCUGUAUAAUUCUGAUAUUAUAUUCAAUCCAAGGCCAGCUUUGAGAACACUGCAACUGUUUGCAUCAAUCAAUUAAACAUUUUCUGAAUCCUGGGUUUGAGGAAUUCCAGGAAAAUGUGUUUACUCAAUCCAAGCAAAUCAAAAUAAUUGCACAAUUGCUACAGUAACUUCAGUUUUAAUAUCCUUUUUUAACUCUGGAUCCUUUAUUAAUAAGUGAUUGUACAGAACAUACAGUGUAUCUUUAAAAAGUCUUUACUCACAAUUUAAGAAAAAAGUCAAUGUCUAGACAAACAUAAAACCAUCCAAGAUGUAUACUAAUGUUCUGCCAGGACAAUAUUCCUUUUGUUCCUAUAGUUCUUUAUUAGUCUCAUUAUCAGGCUCAAAUCUUGUCUUAAUUGGUAAUCCUGGUGAAUCAUAUGAGAAAUAAAAAUAGGAAUAUUA